rnacentral:rRNA from 1 species
CUGCGAGUUAGUGAUACGUGGCGUGCUUAACCCGUGUGGGGUAUGCGUAGCGAAGGCGAGUCUUAAAAGGCGUUUGAGUCGCGUGUCCUGGACCCGAAGCGGGAUGAUCUAGCCCUGAGCAGGUUGAAGCGCGGGUAAGACCGCGUGGAGGACCGAACCCACCUGGGUUGAAAACCGGGGGGAUGACCUGGGGCUAGGGGUGAAAGGCCAAUCAAAUUCCGUGAUAGCUGGUUCUCUCCGAAAUGCAUUUAGGUGCAGCGUCGGUUGAUUGCAUCGCGGGGGUAGAGCUACUGGAUGCUUGCGGGCCCGUGUCGGGUACCAAUAGCAGCCAAACUCCGAAUACCGUGGAUGUGUAUUCCGGCAGUGAGUCGGCGGGGGAUAAGCUCCGUCGUCGAGAGGGAGACAGCCCAGAUCGUCGUCUAAGGUCCCGAAGCGUGUGCUAAGUGGGAAAGGAUGUGGAGUCGCAUAGACAGCCAGGAGGUUGGCUCAGAAGCAGCCAUCCUUGAAAGAGUGCGUAACAGCUCACUGGUCUAGUGGUUCCGCGCCGACAAUGUAGCGGGGCUCAAGCACACCACCGAAGACGCGGCAGCGGCCUUUGCGGCCGUUGGGUAGGAGAGCGUCCCGCGUGGGGCGAAGCGGCCGGGGAACCGUGCCGUGGACCGCGCGGGAGUGAGAAUGCAGACAUGAGUAGCGAGAGACGGGUGAGGAUCCCGUCCGCUGGAUGACCAAGGGUUCCGGGGCCACGUUCGUCGUCCCCGGGUGAGUCGGGUCCUAAGGCGAGGCCGACAGGCGUAGUCGAAUGGAUGAACGGGUGGAUAUUCCCGUACCGGCGGCGUACCGUAAGAGCCGAACGGAUGAGUACUAACCUCCGGUCGCGUGGCGUCGUUCCCUUCGGGGUUCGGGGCGCGUGGCUGUUGGGAGCGUAGUCCUGGUAGGCUAGCGCACAGGGGUGACACGGAAUGGGAGCCGGCCGCGGAGGUGGUUUUCCGUGGUCAAGCACGCAGCCCGUCCCAUAGGCAAAUCCGUGGGACACAUAGGGUGAGGUGUGAUGAUGGGCGUCCUUUGGACGCGAUAUCCGGUGGUCCAGGCCGUCGAGAAAAGCCUCGGCGCGAGGGGCGUCGCCGCCCGUACCCCAAACCGACACUGGUGGUCAGGUAGAGAAUACCAAGGCGAUCGAGCGAAUCCUGGUCAAGGAACUCGGCAAAUCACUCCCGUGCCUUCGGUAUAAGGGAGACCCCCGGGCGUGAAGAGGCUUGCCCUCGGAGCGUUGGGGGGUGGCACAGACCAGGGGGUAGCGACUGUUUACCAAAAACACAGGUGCAUGCGAAGGCGCAAGCCGCUGUAUAUGCACUGACGCCUGCCCGGUGCCGGAAGGUUAAGAGGAUCCGUCAGCCCCUUUUGGGGUGAAGCGGUGAAUUCAAGCCCCGGUAAACGGCGGUGGUAACUAUAACCAUCCUAAGGUAGCGAAAUUCCUUGUCGGGUAAGUUCCGACCUGCACGAAUGGCGU